CUUUAAAAUCCUAAUCGACGAUCCUUUCUCGUCCUUGUUCGAAAUCAACUCCGACGAAUCACAUCUCUCUUACUGUGGGAUGUUUCACCGUCGACAUAAGGCUUCGAUUUCGUGUCUCUUCCUUGUUGGAAAUCAUUUGUCUUCAUCUUCUUCAGUCUCGAAAAAUCCGGGUUGCUCUGUAUGUUGGUGGUCUUUAUGUUUGUGGAAAGAUUGGAUGGGAAUCUGUAAUAAAAAUGGGAUUAGACACACAAGAACUGUUCUUCCACAAAAAUUUUCUGUAUUAUAACCCUCUCGUUCUGAUAGUAAGUCUUUGUCUUAUCAACCGGGGUCGAUUAUGCAUCAAUAUUUUAUCUAGGACCAGAUCAUCUUAGUCACAAAGAGAUAUGGAAGGUACUACAAUUCUUAGUUAGGACCAUCUUUAUCCUUUUUUCAUGCAUUUCUGAAAAUCUGCGUGUGUCAUAGUGUGCUAGGUGGAUGAUACACGAUAAUAUUGACUAGCAUGACUGCGUAUAUGUAUUUAUACUCGCAUGGAGAUGUAUCAUUGACUGCAUCUCAACCAGUGUAAUAGAUGCAUCUUCUCUUAUUUUAGAGAGCUUUUUGAUUCAUUUUUGUUCAUAGAGUUUGAUAUGUUAUUAAAAAAAUUUCAGAUUGUUUUGUAUCUCUCUCGCUACUACUUGCUAUGGAAUUUUUGAGGCAUUCUCCUCUCUAUAUGUUUUGAAUGUAGUUUAUAAACAACAACAAAGCUUUUGUGUAGGUUUUUAUGUCGUAUGGUCCAUCAACAGAUCAGUAGUUAUUGUUGCAUGAAGAAAAAGAAGAUGGAUUUAGGAGAAUUAACAUAAUUCUCAUAAGACUAGGAAUCUCCAAUAUGAGUAUACAUUUAAGGCAUCCUCGAAGACGUUUAAGCAUCCAAUUAAAAGGAGAGAAGAGCAAUAAGAAAUGGACAGAAACCAAGACAAUUAGCAAUUAGAAAGAGUGUUUUAUUGCUUUGCCUUGUGAUAUUUAUAGUUUGUUCUUGAGAAACCUAUUGGUAGUGAAUAAAGGGAAGGAUAAGUUUUGGUAUCAAAUUUAUUCA